rnacentral:tRNA from 1 species
GCGGCCGUCGUCUAGUCUGGUUAGGACACAGCCGCCAAAAGCCUGCGAUCCCGGGUUCAAAUCCCGGCGGCCGCACCA